UACAACUAAUUUCAUAUCUGAAUUGAAAAAAAUCAAUCAAUCUAACACAAGUCUCUUCAUUAACAAACUAAAACAGCUGCGUUUAAACGCUUUGCAGCGAGACCAGAACCACAAGUAAGCCAAAAUCCGCAUUUUAGUGAAGUAACUCAUACGACACGGUGGGCAGCAGCAGCUUCGAACAGUAAUUUCGGAAGUCAACCUUGCAGUCAUUUGGGCAGUUAUUCAAGCAGUCAUACCGCACACUACACUACAGUUAGUUAGCGCAGUUGUUGUAUUUUUUGUUUUUCUACAUUACACAACAACGAAGUUAAAUUGCAAUGGAAACGAACGAAAUGAGGCGAUUCAGCGAAAACAGCAAAGCAUAAAUGUAUAAGUGCCAGCAGAAGUAACAGUAACAGCAGUUAGCCAGUUGCAACGGUACACAGCAACACAGCUAGCCAGUUACAACGCUAUAUAGCUAGCCAGUUACACAGCCAGCCAGCCAGCUAUCCAGCUACCAAUCGAGCCAGUCGUCCAGUCCAACGUGCAACCAACCAUUCAUUGAGCCAACUUUGGCAACAUGCGCUUGAAUUGAAAUCGAACGAUGCGUACUGACCUGGAAAAUAUGGAAACGUGAUCGAAAUAAAUUUAUAAUAACAACAACAACAGCAACAACAUCGCUGGUUGUUGGCAUAGGUAAGGGAGAGUGCGCGAAAAAACUAUGAAAAAUAUGCAAUUCAGGCGAACGUGUGAAACAGUUGGAUUUACUCUAAGAAUGGGGAAAAGAGUGAGCGGUAUUUGCUUGUUAUGUGUCGGUUGCACUGCACGUUGGCGAUUUUGCGGCAAUGACCACGCCAUUGAAUCUGGCGCAUGUUGAACGUUU